CCUACGGGGGGCUGCAGUGGGGAAUAUUGGACAAUGGGGGCAACCCUGAUCCAGCAAUGCCGCGUGUGUGAAGAAGGCCUGCGGGUUGUAAAGCACUUUCAGUAGGGAAGAAAAGCUCGGGGCUAAUACCUCCGGGUCUUGACGUUACCUAAAGAAGAAGCACCGGCUAACUCCGUGCCAGCAGCCGCGGUAAUACGGAGGGUGCGAGCGUUAAUCGGAAUUAGGUGGCGGAAUACGUCGGUAGGUGAAUCCCUGGGCUUAACCUGGGAACUGCAUUCGAUACUGCCCGGCGAGAGUAUGGGAGAGGGAAGCGGAAUUUCCGGUGUAGCGGUGAAAUGCGUAGAUAUCGGAAGGAACACCAAUGGCGAAGGCAGCUUCCUGGCCCAAUACUGACGCUGAGGUGCGAAAGCGUGGGGAUCAAACAGGAUUAGAUACCCCAGUAGUC
rnacentral:rRNA from 1 species